UACGAAGGGUGCAAGCGUUACUCGGAAUUACUGGGCGUAAAGCGUGCGUAGGUGGUUGUUUAAGUCUGCUGUGAAAGCCCUGGGCUCAACCUGGGAAUUGCAGUGGAUACUGGGCGACUAGAGUGUGGUAGAGGACAGUGGAAUUUCGGUGUAGCAGUGAAAUGCGUAGAGAUCGGAAGGAACAUCUGUGGCGAAGGCGACUGUCUGGGCCAACACUGACACUGAGGCACGAAAGCGUGGGGAGCAAAC
rnacentral:rRNA from 1 species